UCAGAUUGAACGCUGGCGGCAGGCUUAACACAUGCAAGUCGAGCGGGGAAAGGUAGCUUGCUACCUGACCUAGCGGCGGACGGGUGAGUAAUGCUUAGGAAUCUGCCUAUUAGUGGGGGACAACAUUCCGAAAGGAAUGCUAAUACCGCAUACGCCCUACGGGGGAAAGCAGGGGAUCUUCGGACCUUGCGCUAAUAGAUGAGCCUAAGUCAGAUUAGCUAGUUGGUGGGGUAAAGGCCUACCAAGGCGACGAUCUGUAGCGGGUCUGAGAGGAUGAUCCGCCACACUGGGACUGAGACACGGCCCAGACUCCUACGGGAGGCAGCAGUGGGGAAUAUUGGACAAUGGGCGCAAGCCUGAUCCAGCCAUGCCGCGUGUGUGAAGAAGGCCUUUUGGUUGUAAAGCACUUUAAGCGAGGAGGAGGCUACCGAGAUUAAUACUCUUGGAUAGUGGACGUUACUCGCAGAAUAAGCACCGGCUAACUCUGUGCCAGCAGCCGCGGUAAUACAGAGGGUGCGAGCGUUAAUCGGAUUUACUGGGCGUAAAGCGUGCGUAGGCGGCUUUUUAAGUCGGAUGUGAAAUCCCUGAGCUUAACUUAGGAAUUGCAUUCGAUACUGGGAAGCUAGAGUAUGGGAGAGGAUGGUAGAAUUCCAGGUGUAGCGGUGAAAUGCGUAGAGAUCUGGAGGAAUACCGAUGGCGAAGGCAGCCAUCUGGCC
rnacentral:rRNA from 1 species